rnacentral:lncRNA from 1 species
CUCCAGCUUUCUAGGUCUAAUCUCCGGUGAGCCGACAAGAGAUCCUUCUCGCUGAAGAAAACAGAAUGACGCCGAUCGCCGCUGGUCACUAGCUGCUGAACGUAGCUGGGAAAUCACCGGUGGGAGAGCCUCGUGGGUGGGUGAAUCGAUGAGAAAAUGCUCGUUGCCGCGACGUCGUUAGCUUCUUCAUCAAGAAUACUUCGCUUUCGUGAUUCCGAUUCGCCAUGUCAAGGUCCGGUAUUCUCAUUUAUUUCUCCUUAAUGAUUCUCUCUCGAGUCUUUUUAACGCUUUCCUGGAGUUGAUUGAUUCCAAUUGACUGUUGAG